GGAGUCGGCCGGGCGGCCGCGGUCCCGGCGGCGACGCCGCUGAGGCUGAGGAAAGUCCGGGCUCCACAGGGCAGGGCGCUGGGGAAAGUCCCAGGCGGGGCGACCCGUGGACAGUGCCACAGAAAAUAGACCGCCCCGGCCUCAGGGCCGGGGUAAGGGUGAAACGGUGAGGUAAGAGCUCACCAGCGUGCCGGGCGACCGGUGCGGCUCGGCAAACCCCGCCCGGAGCAAGGCCAAGCAGGAGGUGAGGACUGCCCGUCCGUCUCGGUUUCGCCGGGUGCCUCCGGGUAGGCCGCUAGAGGCGAGCGGCAACGCUCGUUCGAGAGGGAUGGUCGCCGCACCCCUUGGGAGAGGGGUGGCACAGAACCCGGCUUACAGGCCGGCUCCCACC
rnacentral:RNase_P_RNA from 2 species